rnacentral:rRNA from 1 species
GUGAGUGGCGGACGGGUGAGUAACACGUGGGUAACCUGCCCAGAAGCAGGGGAUAACACCUGGAAACAGAUGCUAAUACCGUAUAACAGAGAAAACCGCCUGGUUUUCUUUUAAAAGAUGGCUCUGCUAUCACUUCUGGAUGGACCCGCGGCGCAUUAGCUAGUUGGUGAGGUAACGGCUCACCAAGGCGAUGAUGCGUAGCCGACCUGAGAGGGUAAUCGGCCACAUUGGGACUGAGACACGGCCCAGACUCCUACGGGAGGCAGCAGUAGGGAAUCUUCCACAAUGGACGCAAGUCUGAUGGAGCAACGCCGCGUGAGUGAAGAAGGGUUUCGGCUCGUAAAGCUCUGUUGUUAAAGAAGAACGUGGGUGAGAGUAACUGUUCACCCAGUGACGGUAUUUAACCAGAAAGCCACGGCUAACUACGUGCCAGCAGCCGCGGUAAUACGUAGGUGGCAAGCGUUAUCCGGAUUUAUUGGGCGUAAAGCGAGCGCAGGCGGUCUUUUAAGUCUAAUGUGAAAGCCUUCGGCUCAACCGAAGAAGUGCAUUGGAAACUGGGAGACUUGAGUGCAGAAGAGGACAGUGGAACUCCAUGUGUAGCGGUGAAAUGCGUAGAUAUAUGGAAGAACACCAGUGGCGAAGGCGGCUGUCUGGUCUGUAACUGACGCUGAGGCUCGAAAGCAUGGGUAGCGAACAGGAUUAGAUACCCUGGUAGUCCAUGCCGUAAACGAUGAUUACUAAGUGUUGGAGGGUUUCCGCCCUUCAGUGCUGCAGCUAACGCAUUAAGUAAUCCGCCUGGGGAGUACGACCGCAAGGUUGAAACUCAAAAGAAUUGACGGGGGCCCGCACAAGCGGUGGAGCAUGUGGUUUAAUUCGAAGCUACGCGAAGAACCUUACCAGGUCUUGACAUCUUCUGCCAACCUAAGAGAUUAGGCGUUCCCUUCGGGGACAGAAUGACAGGUGGUGCAUGGUUGUCGUCAGCUCGUGUCGUGAGAUGUUGGGUUAAGUCCCGCAACGAGCGCAACCCUUAUUACUAGUUGCCAGCAUUCAGUUGGGCACUCUAGUGAGACUGCCGGUGACAAACCGGAGGAAGGUGGGGACGACGUCAAAUCAUCAUGCCCCUUAUGACCUGGGCUACACACGUGCUACAAUGGAUGGUACAACGAGUCGCGAAACCGCGAGGUUUAGCUAAUCUCUUAAAACCAUUCUCAGUUCGGACUGUAGGCUGCAACUCGCCUACACGAAGUCGGAAUCGCUAGUAAUCGCGGAUCAGCAUGCCGCGGUGAAUACG